rnacentral:rRNA from 1 species
GUGGUCAUAUGCUUGUCUCAAAGAUUAAGCCAUGCAUGUCUAAGCAUAGCUGGUAACAGUGAAGCCGCGAAUAGCUCAUUACAACAGCCGUUGUUUCUUGGAUCUACUCUCUACUUGGAUAACUGUGGUAAUUCUAGAGCUAAUACAUGCAUCAAGACCCGACGCAAGGACGGUCGCAUUUAUUAGAACAAAACCAUCCGGUCUUCGGACCGUACUUUGGUGACUCUGAAUAACUGAGCAAAUCACAUGGUCUCGCACCGGUGAUGUAUCUUUCAAGUGUCUGCCUUAUCAACUUUCGAUGGUAGUUUAUGUGCCUACCAUGGUUGUAACGGGUAACGGAGAAUCAGGGUUUGACUCCGGAGAGGGAGCCUGAGAAACGGCUACCACUUCUAAGGAAGGCAGCAGGCGCGCAAAUUACCCAUUCUCGGUACGAGGAGGUAGUGACGAAAAAUACCAAGCCGAGGCUCUCUGAGUUUCGGCAUUGGAAUGAGAACAAUCCAAAUCUUUUAACGAGGAUCUAGUGGAGGGCAAGUCUGGUGCCAGCAGCCGCGGUAAUUCCAGCUCCGCAAGUGUAUAUCUAUUUUGCUGAGUUUAAAAAGCUCGUAGUUGGAUCUGCGUGUUCAGCAUCUGGUGCGGUCUUUGGCCACUACUGGAAUGCGACACAUCGAAUGUCGGUUUGCCGUCGAUGCUCUUAACCGGGUGUGAGCGGUGGCUGAUGAGUUUACUUUGAACAAAUUAGAGUGCUCAACGCAGGCGUUUCGCUUGUAUAUUUCUGCAUGGAAUAAUAGAAUAGGACCUCGGUUCUAUUUUGUUGGUUUUCGGAAGUGAGGUAAUGAUUAAGAGGGACUGACGGGGGCAUUCGUACUGCGACGUGAGAGGUGAAAUUCUUGGAUCGUCGCAAGACGCACUACUGCGAAGGCAUUUGCCAAGAAUGUUUUCAUUAAUCAAGAACGAAAGUAACGGGUUCGAAGGCGAUCAGAUACCGCCCUAGUCGUUCCGUAAACAAUAUUGACUGGGAGCAUGUCGGAGUUUCCAAGAGCCCGAUAUGAACCCGCAGGGAAACCAGAAGUCAAUUACUGGGGGAGUACGAUUGCAAAUUCGAAACUUAAAGGAAUUGACGGAAGGGCACCACCAGGGGUGGAGCCUGCGGCUUAAUUUGACUCAACACGGGAAAACUCACCCGGCCCGGACACCGGAAGGAUUGACAGAUUGAGAGCUCUUUCUUGAUUCGGUGGGUGGUGGUGCAUGGCCGUUCUUAGUUGGUGGAGUGAUUUGUCUGGUUAAUUCCGAUAACGAACGAGACUCUGGCCUACUAAAUAGUCGUCGGAUCGCUUUAGUCCGACUGACUUCUUAGAGGGACAAGCAGUGCUUAGCUGCAUG